ensembl:lncRNA LINC01647 long intergenic non-protein coding RNA 1647
AGAUAAGAGAAUAAAAGCAGGCUGCCCGAGCCAGCAGUGGCAACCCGCUCGGGUCCCCUUCCACACUGUGGAAGCUUUGUUCUUUUGCUCUUUGUAAUAAAUCUUGCUACUGCUUACUUUUUGGGUCCACACUGGUUUUAUGAGCUGUAACACUCACCACGAAGGUCUGCAGGUUCACUCCUGAGCCAGCGAGACCACGAGCCCACCGGGAGGAACGAACAACUCCAGACGUGCUGCCUUAAGAGCUGUAACACUCACCGUGAAGGUCUGCAGCUUCACUCCUGAACCAGCGAGGCCACGAACCCACCAGAAGGAAGAAACUCCGAACACAUCUGAACAUCAGAAGGAACAAACUCCAGACGCGCCACCUUAAGAGCUGUAACAUUCACCGCAAGGGUCCGCGGCUUCAUUCUUGAAGUCAGUGAGACCAAAAACCCACCAGUUGCGGACACAGUUGUUGUCACAGCCCGGCCUGCCCCAACCUGCCUCAGAGGAAGCAUCGGAGACACUCCACCAGCUUCUCCCAUGGCUUCCCUCAUCCUGGGGCCAAGGCAGCAUCUGGUACAGAGCUGAGGCAGGGGAGAGAUAUCCUUGGAGCCAACAUCCAUGUGUUUAACCUGGAUCCUCUGUGCCUGAGCAACUCAGGCUUCUUCCAUGUGGCAGGGGCGGGGUGAGGCCACAGACAGCUCCAGCUCACAUCAACCCAGCUAAUGGCUUCACAGGAAAGAGGGAAGCAAAAUCCCAGAGAAGUCUGAUUGGCCCGGCCUGGAUCUCAUGGCUGUGGGCAAUGGAAAAGCUGAGGGAACUGGAGAACAGCUGCUGUCCUCUCCCUGCGCACAUCUGUUCUGCCUCAUGCCAAAGGGAGACAAUGGCUAAAGGGGGCCUGUACUGGUCAGGCCCUGCAGAGAAACAGAACACACAGGUUGUGUAUGCAUGUAUAGGUAGGUAGGGAGACAGAGAGUGGGGAGAGAGAGAGGUUCGAGAAAUUGGCUCAUGUGAUUACAGAGGCUGGCAAGUCCAAAAUUUGCAGGGUGGGUGAUACGGUUUGGCUGUGUCCCCCCACCAAAUCUCAUCUUGAAUUGUAGCUCCUGUAAUUCCCACAUGUCAUGGGAGGGACCCCAUGGGAGGUAAUUGACUCAUGGGGCUGAGUCUUUCCCAUGCUGUUCUCAUGAUAGUGAAUAAGUCUCAGGAGAUCUGAUGGUUUUAUAAAAGGGAGUUCCCUGCCCAAGCUCCCUCUUGCCUGCUGCCAUGGAAGACGUGCCUUUGCUCCUUUGCCUUCCACCGUGAUUGUGAGGCCUCCCCAGCCUCGUGGAACUGUCAGUCCAUUAAACCUCUUUUUCUUUAUAAAUGA